GAAGCAGGACCAACAGCAGUCACUUGGUUGCUGUCUGCAGCGACUGAAACAUCAUCGGUGAAACUGGUCACAAGUGGAGCCACUCCUAGACUGGACUCUACUGCAAACAAAAGUGUUAAGAAGAGAAGCCACUCAUAGACAGGAUUUGCAUCAGGUACUGGUCCUCCCACAGACAUCACCUGCUUUUAUAACCAUUUUAUGUUUCAAUGUUUUUUUUUGUUAAUUUUCAAAGCUUAAUAUUCUGUAUUUGCUCUGAUUAAAUCAAAUAAAACUCUGCAUCUUA